UGGGGAAUAUUGGACAAUGGGCGCAAGCCUGAUCCAGCCAUGCCGCGUGAGUGAUGAAGGCCCUAGGGUUGUAAAGCUCUUUCACCGGUGAAGAUAAUGACGGUAACCGGAGAAGAAGCCCCGGCUAACUUCGUGCCAGCAGCCGCGGUAAUACGAAGGGGGCUAGCGUUGUUCGGAUUUACUGGGCGUAAAGCGCACGUAGGCGGACUUUUAAGUCAGGGGUGAAAUCCCGGGGCUCAACCCCGGAACUGCCUUUGAUACUGGAAGUCUUGAGUAUGGUAGAGGUGAGUGGAAUUCCGAGUGUAGAGGUGAAAUUCGUAGAUAUUCGGAGGAACACCAGUGGCGAAGGCGGCUCACUGGACCAUUACUGACGCUGAGACGCGAAAGCGUGGGGAGCAAACGGGAUUAGAUACCCAAGUAGUCCCUGAGCGGGCUGGCAAGGCGCAU
rnacentral:rRNA from 1 species